rnacentral:rRNA from 1 species
GACGAACGCUGGCGGCGUGCCUAAUACAUGCAAGUAGAACGCUGAAGAGAGGAGCUUGCUCUUCUUGGAUGAGUUGCGAACGGGUGAGUAACGCGUAGGUAACCUGCCUUGUAGCGGGGGAUAACUAUUGGAAACGAUAGCUAAUACCGCAUAACAAUGGAUGACACAUGUCAUUUAUUUGAAAGGGGCAAUUGCUCCACUACAAGAUGGACCUGCGUUGUAUUAGCUAGUAGGUGAGGUAAUGGCUCACCUAGGCGACGAUACAUAGCCGACCUGAGAGGGUGAUCGGCCACACUGGGACUGAGACACGGCCCAGACUCCUACGGGAGGCAGCAGUAGGGAAUCUUCGGCAAUGGGGGCAACCCUGACCGAGCAACGCCGCGUGAGUGAAGAAGGUUUUCGGAUCGUAAAGCUCUGUUGUAAGUCAAGAACGGGUGUGAGAGUGGAAAGUUCACACUGUGACGGUAGCUUACCAGAAAGGGACGGCUAACUACGUGCCAGCAGCCGCGGUAAUACGUAGGUCCCGAGCGUUGUCCGGAUUUAUUGGGCGUAAAGCGAGCGCAGGCGGUUUGAUAAGUCUGAAGUUAAAGGCUGUGGCUCAACCAUAGUUCGCUUUGGAAACUGUCAAACUUGAGUACAGAAGGGGAGAGUGGAAUUCCAUGUGUAGCGGUGAAAUGCGUAGAUAUAUGGAGGAACACCGGUGGCGAAAGCUGCUCUCUGGUCUGUAACUGACGCUGAGGCUCGAAAGCGUGGGGAGCGAACAGGAUUAGAUACCCUGGUAGUCCACGCCGUAAACGAUGAGUGCUAGGUGUUGGAUCCUUUCCGGGAUUCAGUGCCGCAGCUAACGCAUUAAGCACUCCGCCUGGGGAGUACGACCGCAAGGUUGAAACUCAAAGGAAUUGACGGGGGCCCGCACAAGCGGUGGAGCAUGUGGUUUAAUUCGAAGCAACGCGAAGAACCUUACCAGGUCUUGACAUCCCGAUGCUAUUUCUAGAGAUAGAAAGUUACUUCGGUACAUCGGUGACAGGUGGUGCAUGGUUGUCGUCAGCUCGUGUCGUGAGAUGUUGGGUUAAGUCCCGCAACGAGCGCAACCCCUAUUGUUAGUUGCCAUCAUUCAGUUGGGCACUCUAGCGAGACUGCCGGUAAUAAACCGGAGGAAGGUGGGGAUGACGUCAAAUCAUCAUGCCCCUUAUGACCUGGGCUACACACGUGCUACAAUGGUUGGUACAACGAGUUGCGAGUCGGUGACGGCGAGCUAAUCUCUUAAAGCCAAUCUCAGUUCGGAUUGUAGGCUGCAACUCGCCUACAUGAAGUCGGAAUCGCUAGUAAUCGCGGAUCAGCACGCCGCGGUGAAUACGUUCCCGGGCCU